AUUCCUCGACACGUCAAUCAAAGGAUUGUCAUUGACAGAGUUGAUUUCUCGUUCGAUCAUUUUCGUUGAUGUUCUAAUCACUUCAAUCAGAGGGCCUAGCCAUUGUGGAGAUGUUCGAAGAGCAUAUCGGUCUUGUUUAGGUUUUUGUAGAGGAUCGAUCUCAUGUAACUUCUGAGCUUCUUUAACAUAGGCGCUGCCAUCUAAAAUAUGUUCCAUGAUGGCGGCAGCUUCAAUUUGGCCAGGAUGAUGCUUCAAUUUAUGUGUCAGGUGAUCAGUAAACUCAGGUUUUCCUUGCAUGACUUCAGCAAAGAUUGCUGACAAAACUUCUGAUAGGAUUGCCAACACAUUAGCCUCAAAAAGCACCAUUGAAGCUAGACCGGAACCCACUGCAGUACCAUUCACUAGCGCUAGACCUUCUUUCGGCUGUAACUCAAAAAAGCCGCCAACAAUCCCAGCUUGUGUAAAGGCUUCAGCAGAGCUCAGGGGCUCUCCAUUGGGUCCAACUGCCUUUGAAUUAGGCCUGCCUGUCAAGAGCCCAGCAAUGUAGGACAAUGGGACAAGGUCACCAGAGGCAGUGAUUGUUCCUCUCAAUGGCAAACAUGGGGUGAUGUUGUGGUUGAGCAGCUUGGUGAUCGCUUCCAACAUCUCAAAUCUUAUGCCCGAAUAACCUUGAAGCAGGGUGUUGGUUCUGACCAACAUAGCUGCCCUGGUUGCUGAGUGAGACAAUGUAUGGCUAGACUCCGUGCCAUUCCCAAAGAUACCGGCAUUUAAGAACCUAGUGAAAUAAAAUCCCAUAAACCACAUUAGGAACAACCUUAAUUGGAAAAAAAAAUUAGUUGAGAAGUUUUUUUGGUAAUAGAAUUUUGAAUUAGUUAUUCUUGCAAGAACCUCAGCGAAGUGUAGGUGACAAUUUGUAACCAAAAAAUGUUACUAGCAGCUAGGAUAGUUUCUUGCACUCUUUCUUAAGAUUGGCAAACCAUAAUUAACGAAGUAAAUUACAAGUAAUUAAUGAUGUUUACCGUCCGGGACACUAGACUUUUUCUCUUUGAAUAUUUUUUAUUUGAUGGUUAAAUAACACAAUACGAGUCAAGUCAACUUGGAAAUAUACACAAAGUAAAACUUUUUAUUUGAAAUUCAGGCACCUAAAUGAUCUUUGAUACGUAAUUUAAAUAUAAUUAGGCCGGUUGGAAAUAUUCAACCCUUUAUAAUAGUUUAUUUCACUGCUGUAAUCUGAUCACCUACCUACCACAUCAUCUCUCUCUCUUUUUUUUUUUUUUGUCCUUGCUGGACUUCCACUUACAGCCUACCAACCUAACAAUAACAAGUUAACAAGACUUCUGAUGAAACGUGUGCGUGCUAAUUUCAGGCAUUUUCCAGGAGAGUGAAGGAGCAUAAGUUAAGGCUCACAUGCACUUGUGGUAUCUUCCUCCCUAACAAAAACUCCUCUUUUUUUUCUGUCUCUAAAAGACAUUGGUUGUUUUUUCCUGGGAAAUAUGAAUACUAACAAGCCAACAAUCCCCUAUUUAAAGUAACAAAUUAACAAUAUCAUGGAAUAAAAAAAAAACUGCUUGAUAUAUACAGUAAUAUAAAAAGCUACCUUACUAGCAGUUAAGAUACAAGUAAAGUAAAUUUUGGGAUUUGUCAUGAGUUUGAUUACCUUAUAAGCUCCUUUUGAAGCUCCCCACCUUGCUUGGUUCUUCUAUGUGAGGUUGCACCAAAACCAGUAGUAACACCAUAACUGUCUGUUCCCUUGCCCAUGCUGUCCAUGACCCAGUCACUGCUGGCCUUGACACCAGCUCGAGCCUCCUCUGACAACUCCACCAUGACACCAACGUCACGGCUAGCAAUUGCAGUUACCUGACCUAUGGUCAGGGUCUCACCUCCUAACUUGACCACAGGCUUCCUGUACUCCUCGAUCAUGCGCUUGACCUCAUCUAGGUGGCUUCCUUUUAGUGAGUCUGCCGCCAUGCCCCAGUUCAAAGGGUCAUUAGUGUUAAAUCCUGGUGAACCAUUGACAUUGCGUGAAUCUUGACAAAAUUCCAUUUUUUUCCUGUAAAGCUAUGAUCCUCUAUGCCAAAAUGGAGGAGAGACAAAAAAAGAGUGAUGGAUGGAUUGGUAUGAUCAAAGAUAAAAUGAGAGAGAAGAACGGAUGUGCGAGCACAAAGAAUAUUCUGGCGUAAAAAAUUAUAUGAGGGUUGUAUAGUAAAAAACAAAUUGAAGUUGCGAGGCUCUGAAUGUAUGUAGGAAUUUUCAGGUUACCCAAAAAUCCUGAGUUUUUUCACCAAAAUUUAGGUGCUUUAAAUAGAGAAGAAAGGAGGGGCAGGCAGGUAGAGGGUGGGUUGGGUUGGCCGAUGUGUUAGUUGAAAAGUGUACGUGGCCGUUGGAUCAUCGUUGUAUUCAAUGGGUGGGAUUGUGACACUUGGGAUGCUGUGGUAAGUAGCAUGCACUUAAGUGGGGUCGCAUAAUUGGGAGGAUUUCCUGUUCUUGUCAAAAAGAUGGAGGGUCGGGGAGAAAUGGGGUUGGUUGAGAAGUGGCACAUCAGCACUUACGUCAUGGCUCUAAUUCGUAUUAUUUAAUCAAUGAUUUUUCUGCCAUGAAAUUUAAAUCACCAUAUCUACCUAUGUUUUCCUUCCAUAAAUGGCAGAGGGAAUUAUAACGAUCGACGGUGUCUGGAUAUCAUGAACACAUCCAUGCAUAUAUUUACUUGAAAAUAGUAAAAAAUCCAUUUUUUCUCUAUUUAUCAUUGAUUUUGUUAGUCAUUUUCCUUUUAAAAAAUAAAUAGAGAUAAUUAUAUAUCAUGAGAUAUUUACGGAUUGUUUUGAAUUUCUACAGUUUCUCUUUUAUUUCUUAUAAAACUUCCCGUCAUCCUAGCUUUCAAGUUGAUGCAAGCUAUUGGACUUGGGCAUUGUUAAUUUCUAACUCGGCCUUGGUGUUAGGUAUUUUUUUUUUUAUAUCAAUUAUAUUAAGUUGUGAAUUUUCAUUGCCAGUGCAUGGUAAAUCCAAGAAUCAUGUCGGCUGGAUCAAUGCCAGGCAAAAAUAUUAUAGAAUAUUAUUUGGUGUUCCGGUUCAACCGAUCUGGAGAAUUUAUGUCAGAUAUAAUUAAGGAUAGUUAGGGUUUUUUCUUACAAGUGAAAGCCGGGACCAAGUCACUGGCUGAUAAUAGAGCCAUAAUGAAGAAAAAAAAUCAAAGAAUAAAAAAAAAACGCCUACGAAGACAACAAAGAAAAGGAUAUAUUUACAUUUGAGGGUCUAGUCCAUUGAUCAAUUGCAAGACUUGUCUUUGCGAACGUCCUAGGUUCGAACCUUAAGAGUACCAACCUGUUACCCCCGCGGUGCCUUACCUGCCUACCGGGCUUGCAGGAUGUUCAGUAGGUCCUGUGAUUAGUUGUGGUGCGCGCGCGCAAACUGUCCCGGACACCCAGGGUCAUAAAAAAAAAAAAUAUAUUUCUCAUCAAGGUUUGCCCAUAUCCUUCUCUCUUUUGAGAAGAAAAGCAGAGCAUAGGGAACCACCUUUAUUAAACCCCGCUUGCCCUAUAGUUUGAAUUCCUGCUCUAAGUAGAGUUGUAAAAAACUAGGGGAGAAUUAAUCCAUUUCUUAUCCUUUUCAUUUUAAUUCAGUCUAUUUUCGGUUAUUAAUGUGAAACUUUUCGUUUUGAAUUCUUUAUCCACAUGAUCACAAUUAAGAAAUUUAUGACAAAUCUAUUUCUUAUCCUUCACGUAACAUUUGAACUAUAGUGUUAUUAAAAUGAUAAAAUCUAUCCAAGCUAGCUGGUUGACCUGAAAACUGUCUUGGACUGGGUGUAAAAAGACCAGGCAAGAAAUGAUCUAGUCAAAUAUAAAACGUCCAAGAGCUAGUCAAAUAUGACCCGAUCAAAAUAAAAUUUAAUUUUUUUAAAAUAAAAAUAAAAUAAUAUUAUUUUUAUAAAGUUAACUAGUAACAAGAAAAGCUGGAAGCAUUCAACUCAUGGCCGGCCGUUCUUCAUUUGUAAUGUGGAGCACUUUAGCCAUUUCUUUUUCCCAGACUCCAUUGAUUACUGGACAAUUUGAAAGCCAUUUUGGUUCUUUUUUUUUUUGCAUACCUUUACAUAUGUAGUCUAUCUCUUGGACGUUUCAUGCUUAUAAUUAAGGACCUGCGCGUGGAACCUUGUACGAAUUUUUUUUUAAAUUUUUUUGCAGCGAUCCCUUUGCCUGCAUGGUCUGCACACCACUGUUUCUUAUAGAAUGCAAAUCACAAUUACAGUUUGUUUUUAAUAAAUGUAUGGUAUUUCUAUUAUUUUAAUAAUAUUUUGAAACCUCGCAUCAGAAUUCUACACAGUCCAGCAAUUGCAAACAAAAAAUAAUAAUGCAGAGAGAAGAAAAAACUUUAGCCCAUAAGCAUCCAUGGAUUCACAUUCGUGUAGCCAUUGUCAUUAUUUCAUAGGUCGCCAUCAAGCUUGCUUGCUUGCUAGCAAGAUAUAUUAAAUAGAUUUUUCGGGUAUUUGUAAGAGACACUCCUAAUCUUUAAUUAUUAUCUCCUGUGCUAAAAGAACCGGGAUAAAAAGAACAAUAAAGGUGUUGCUCCCUUUUUUGUCUUUUUCUUUGAAUCCAUCUUUUAUUUUUUUAUUGAUUUUUUUAAUUCUUUAAUAUUUAAACUUAUUCUCGUAAUUUAUUUCAAAUUAUUUCUAUUUUUAUUCAUGUUUAAUUUUAAAAAUACUUAUUUUUAUUAUUACAUAGUUAAAAUAAAAUUGUUAAAUUCAAUAGAGUUUAUGAUCUAAUUUACAGGUUUAACAAAUUAAUUUAUAAAAUUUAGAUAAAUUUAAUAUAUUAUCAUUUUAAUUUUUUAAAAAAUAUUAAUUUAAAUUUAUAUUUUAAAAAUCAAACCAUAUUUAUCCAAUAUCAUUUGGUUAAUUUUAAACACGAGCCAGUCAAAUAAUUACUGGUUAACGUUUACUUUUAGGGUUUUGAUAGGUUGGGUUCUUACAUUUCUUGUACUUGCAAAUUCCUCUUGUUCUCACCAACUUCCCAUUUUAUUUUUUAUUUUAUUGUGGUUGGUAGGGUGCUGCCAUUGAAGUCUUCUUUGCCCCCACCUCCUCCUCAUCCACUAUAAUUUUCCUAAAUAUCUCUACGUACUGAUCGAAGUUUAUUUAUCUCAAACAAUAUAAAUCGUUUUCUAAUUAAUUUGACUUUAAUGUUGAUUCUAUGACGCUAGCUGAUUAUUUAUGCCAAGUAUGGUGUGCUGUCGCAAUCCUAGUGCCAGUAAUUACAGUGCCAUCUGAUCAAUAUUAUUUAGGCUAUGUUUAUUUUUUAUUUUGAAAGUGCUUUUAAAGAUUUUUUUAAUUAUUUUUUUAAUGUUUUCAAAUUAAUUUGAUGGGCUAAUAUCAAAAAUAAUUUUUAAAAAAUAAAAAAAUCAUUAUUUUGAUAUAUUUUCUAAAAAAAAACAUAUUUAUAUGAAGAUAAAUUUAUGUAAAUAAAAUAAAUAUGCCUAUAUGGUAACAGUUUUUAAAAUAAAUUUAUAUAUAUUUUCAAAACAAGAAAUAUAUGAAAAUAAGUAUAUAUCAUAUCUCUAUUAUUUAAUUUUAUCUUUCUUCUUCAAGUGUCCUAACAAAAAACUACCAAGAGUUCAAGUAGUGUGGCUAUAGUUGAUGGCACAAUUCUUCUAACAACGUAUGAGCAUACUCCUGAUCACAAGCAAAGUACCAAGUAUAGUGUUUAUUUUUUCCACAUUAAUUUCUUGUUGUUCUUCUUCCUGUUGUUUCUUCUCAUCACUGUUGAUCAUAAACUGAGAUUUGCAGUCAACCAUUGACAAGGUUGAGUGCUUCAAACACGCGCUGUUCUCGAUGAAUAUUGUUGACAAUAUUGACCAAUUUAGCAAGUCCAAGAAUGACAAAAGCUGACAGUGAGGAUUUCGUUUUUAUUUCUUAGACGUGAGGUUCCUGGUAGAUAUCCAGCAGCCUGCAUCAAUUAAAAAAGAUACAUCAGACUAUCAGAGUGGAGAACACCACAGUGCAUAUAUUCCUUAAGAACAUGUAAAAAAAAAAGGAAAAUAGUAGCCAGGAGCUGUUGUGGCUAGACAGACGGGUCUUGUUCACCACCAACCACAGUUGUGGUUCUCAUCCAGGGAGGGUAGGUGAAGACAAUGAGAAAAUCAUAGCGAGAUCAAGCUUACAGGCUUUAAUUAAUUUGUCAAACUCUUGGAUAAGCUACAUGUGUGGUUGGUGAGAGCCUCACUCCAUGCACAUAAUAUGGUCAAAGUGAAAUUAGUCAAGCUUAUUUUUUGGUCAAUUAUUGAAUAAAAUCGUUGGAUAAGCUACAAUGUUAGAUAUUUUUAAUUUUUAAUAUUAGUAUAUUAAAAAUUAAGUUUGUCUUCUCUUUUUGGUUUACAGCCAAAAUAUUUUUCUCCUCUGAUUUUUUCUCAAAAUUCAGAAUAGAAUAAUGAUUGAGAUAAACGUGACUGGGCUGCUACUCGUAGUGGGGAGAGAAAAGAUCGAAAGUGAAGGUUGUUGAUGUGGCUGGAUGAAAAGUAUGUGGUGGUGCCGUUAAAAUUAAAAUCAAGCCACAACCCUUAAUUUGAAAUUAAAAACCCUAAUUUGAAAUGAAAAGUAUGAUAAUGGAUGAAAGUUGUAUCUCUAUGAGUGUAGGUGAAUUUGGGAAUUUUGAAUUGCUUGAUUUCGAUAUCAAAAGCUCAUAAUAUUUCUGUUUGAAUAUCUAACGUGAAAGUAGAAAAUUCUGCCGCGAAAAUACUCCUGACUCGAGUUUUGCACUAAAGACUCUAUUUCCAUCAUAAAUUUUAUUGAUUUGUUCUUAGAUCAUACUUUCAGUCAUAUAAGGAUGCUCGACAUUAUCAGUUUCUGAAUUAGAUUAGGCUACCCUUUUUGACCAACCAGAUUACUGCUAGAUUCUGUUAUCUAAAAAGAUUUUAUCUCACUUUGAAUCCUUCAUUAAAGUUAUAGUCCUAGACGUGUAGAUAAAUUUGGGCUUUUGAAUCACUUGAUUUCGAUAUCAAAAGCUCAAGAUAUUCCCGUUUGAAUAUUUAGUGUGAAAGCAGAGAUUCCAGCUGCGAAAAGGAUUUUUGCCCGAGUUCAGGGACACAAUUGCAAGAUGCUUAAAGUUUGAAGAUUAAUUGCAAGCCAAUUUAAAGCCCUUUUUUGGACCAAGGACCAAAUGGAAAAGGUGCAAAAAUAAGGAAGUUGAGUGAAGAUAAAAUUAGAAGGAAUUUUGCCGGAGGAAGAAAUUGAAGAACCACGUUUUUAUCUGUACAGCUAGCUUGAUUUUUCUUUCCUUUUAUCUGCAAUUUCCUGUUUGGUUUCCAUGUUUAUCUCGCUUGAAUGGAAAGUUGCAGACCACGUGUUUAUUGCCUCAUUACAAAGGGAGCAGCUAGUGCUUCAUGGUCCCAGCUAUGGAAGUAAAGAAAGAAGUCGCACCAUCCUCUAAAAUGCUAGAAAGAAAACAGAUAUGAUCACAAAAUCAGAAUCAAAAUAUUUUGGUUUUUUAUUUCUGCUCACCCAAGAUUACACCCUAGAGUUAAUGUAAUAUUUGUUUCCUAAAUAAAGUUGCGUUUAAGGUUAUAAGCCUCCUUUGCUGGGAGGAGAAAAAGGAUGAAAAAAAAAGAGGAGGACAGGAAAGAGGAGAGAAAAAAAGGGCGAGGAAUGAAUGGAAAAAAGAGAGAGCAGAACGCCACUGUCAAAAGAAGAUAAACAUAAAGGCAGGGGUGUGAACUCAACCAGUAUAACAUGUUUUCAUCGUCGUCUCCCUCAUCAUCUCCACAAAGAGCGUCAACAGAAGGAAAGAAAAGGAACAAAGAUCAUCAAUCGACGUGGAUUGUUUUCAUUGUCCCUAGAAGCAGUGACCACCGGCUGUGCGUCAAAGCUGCAGUAUCGUUGUCUUCAUCCAUCUCAGUUACCAGAGAGGGAGAGAAAGAAAACACAGAAAACGGGACAGAGGAGGAGAAAAAAAAGGGGAGAAAGUGCAAGGAAAAAAAAAAGAAAAAAGAAGAGAAACCAUAAACCAGCAGGGACUGCCUUCCGGUCUUCACUUUCAUUUUUUUUACAUAUAAAAUCUGCAGAACAGGGAAGAAGAAAGUGCAGAAAACCAAUGUUGAGAGAGGGAUGAAGAUUGCAGAGGUGAAAUUAAGAAGAAGAACGCCAACAGAGAAUAGGAGGAAAGAGCUAAAGCAGACAGCAGCACUAAUCGACUAGCCAGCAAGCCUUCAAACAUCAUCGUUGUCCUUUCGUUCCCAAGUCUGUUCUCUUCACCUCUCGCACCAUGCAUUUUCUUGCUAUAUGUUUGCACUAUUCAAGUGAAUUUUUAUUCACUUGAUCAGUAGCGUGGUCUCUUUGCAUGCAUUCCGCCUUGUUUAUUGAGAGGACUGCGCCUUUUUUUGUGUCCAACCGGGUCACUUGCUUGGGCAAGUGACCCUAGCGAACCUGUUGUUCUCUUUUAAAAAAAAAAAAAGAGAAAGAGAUUUAUGAAUUUCUGGCAUAUUUAUUUUAAGGUCUGAAUUUUUUUAUGUUAUAAAAAAAUAUCAAUCUUGUAUUUAGAAUACCAGGUUUUCGACGCAAUGUGACAAAUAUAUAUAUAUAUAUAUAAAAUGUUCUCUUAUAUGUUGCAUACGGUUAAUACCCUAACAUGUUUUGAACGCUUUUUUUUAUAUAAAAAAUAUUGGAAGUUUUGAAAAUGUUUUUUCACAUGAAUCUCUUAAACACAACAAAAAUUAUUUUCUUGCAUUUCUGGAUUUGACAACAUGUUUGUAAAACUCUAAAGAGUAUUGACCAAUAUUCCAAAACAAUAAAAAACAAAAAAACUUAUUUUAGGGGAAUUCAUAUAUUAUUCACCGUUAAUGUUUGGAUAAAAAAAUUCCAAAUGGAUGAAUAUCCAAAAUAUUAACGGGAAUAACUUGUUAUUAUUCACUGUUAAUAUUUGGAUAAUGAAACUCUAAGUGGUAAAUAUCCAAAAUAAUUUUAUAGGGAUAAUAAGUUAUCACACAUCCUUGAAAGAAGUCUCGAUUAUAAUCGAGGACAUUUCAAUUUUUUACUCCAUAGUUUACGAGCCGUGAGAGCAUAAAACAUUAAGGCAAAAAUAGGCUUUUAAAAUGCCUUAGAUUUCUAAAUAUUUGUCCCUCCUCCUUACAAUUUACGAGUCGCAAACUCGUGAAAUACUAAGGGAAAAAUGAGCUUUUUAAAGCACAUAGAAUCUCCUUGGAUUUCUAUCUUAAUAAAUUUAGUUUGAAUCAAACCUAGAAAAACUGAUGGGACUAGAAAACACCAACACCAUAACAAUUAUAAAGCAAACCAAACACCAAGAAACUUAUCUUAGGUAAGGCGUACUAGAGGGGUUAAUACCUUCCCUUUACGUGAUCAGUCUCUUUCCUUAGAAUCUAUGAAAGACCACUUAGGGUUCCUAGUGACCAAAAUACUAGUUGGCAAAUCCUUUACAUAAAAAACAAAAAAAAAACCUGAAAUCAAUCGUGGGUCACCACGACACCACACUCCAUCGUGAGAGUGCGACAAUAGCCACAAAACAAAUGAAAUUAUGAUGACGUUUUACAAUCCAGUCCUUUCUUUUUUUCAAAUCCCUCAACAAAAUCAAAUAACAUCCUAACAAAUGGUCUUCAAUUAACCCGUUAAAUUCUUGAAACAUUAAAUUGGGCCCCUCAAAUCAGACUUGCAAACUAAGGUCAGGACCCUUCUUGCGAUAGGAUUAUCUACUUUCACGUUUAGAUAUUCAAACAGGAAUAUCUUGAGCUCCUGAUAUCGAAAUCAAGUGAUUCAAAAUUCCAAAUUUAUCUACACGUCUAGGAUUACAACUUUGAUGAAGGAUUCGAAGUGAGAAAAAAUCGUUUUAAAGAACAGAAUCUGGUAGCAAUCUGGUUGGUCAAAAAGGGUCUCCUGAUCUAAUUCAGAAAAUUACAAUGCCAAGCAUCUCGAUAUGACAAAGAGUAUGACCUAAGAACAAAGACCAAUAAAAUUGUGACGGAAGCAGAGUCUUUAGUGCAAAACUCAUGUCAGAAUCCUUAUCGUGGCAGAAUUCUCUACUUUCACGUUAGAUAUUCAAACGGGAAUAUCAUGAGCUUUUGAUAUCGAAAUCAAGCGAUUCAAAAGCCAAAAUUCAUCUACGCAUAGAAGACUACAACUUUGAUAAAGUAUCCAAAGUGAGAUAAAAUCAUUUUGAAGAACAGAAUCUAGCUGCAAUCUGGUUGGUAAAAAAGGGUUUCCUGAUCUGAUUCAGGAAAAUAACAAUGUGGAGCAUCCAAAUCUAAUUAAGAGUCUUCCAUAAGAGCAAUGAGCCCUAGGACCCAAUAAAGGUGUAGGUCAAUUCUUCAACAUGUCAUGAGUGAUAAAAUAUAGCUAGGAUGAUCAGAUAUUAUAUGAAACCAAAUCAGAAUCAGAGCCUAAGUUGGAACAAAAAAUUGCGACAAUAGUAGAAUCAAUUUUUUUGUGUGCAAAUUCUGAGGGAUUUAUCCAACCUUAAAUAUCGUAUAAAAUAAAAUAAAAAUAAAUGAAUUUAGCAUUAUGAAGACUCAUAAUCAGUCUAAGAAACCUGAUGAUUUUUAGCAGCAAAGAGGGAGGAUAAAGAGGGCAAAAAAACAACUCAAACAGGAUUCGAAAAACAUUUAUUUCUUCUCCACUUUUAUCAAUUCGUUAACAAUCAUGCACUAAACUCUUUUAUUUGGUUCAAAAGACGUACACACCAUCUACAACACGUAAGGCCUAAAAAUGAGUAACAACAAUAGGCAUAUAGUGUGCUUGUUACGUACAAACUGACAUGGCUAAUAAGCUUUGUAAGGAAAAAAAAAGAAAGAUGAUUACAUGACAUCUAUAGCUUAGCAAAUAGGAAGAGGAGCACCAUUCCAUUCCUUCAAGCAUUCCAGCAAGGGAUCCAUCAACUUCCCUGUACAGAUAGCUGUGAAAACCUUGUCGAAAUCCUCGCCAGGCGAUUUAACCUUCUCACCUGUUAGCAAACUAGUUCCCAAUUCUUCCCUCACAAACUUAUACAGGGGGUAUGACCUGCAUUCGUUGAUCCUGUUUGGAACAGCUGGAUUUCCAUUCUCAACUUCAAGUCUAGCACUCUCAACCUCUUUAGGCAAAAGGGUCUUGAGUUCUUCCUCAAAAGAUCCGAUCUUUUGGAAAAUCGAAGUGGUUGAAUUCCUUUCCUUUUCGCCAUUCACCAAGGCAUGCUCGACUAGUACUUGCCUUAGCUUUUGCAUUAAUGGAUAGGUUGCACUACAAGGAUCGUCAAUGUACGCAAAGACAUGUUCUGUGUCAACAAUCUUUAGCAAGUCUUUUUCGCAUAAUCUUGAAGGGUGAAGCUCGCCAUUGAAGCCCAUUGUCAAGACUCUCUUGGCAACUUGGCUCACAGUGUUCUUGACUGUGUUCUUCAGGUUCUCCUCUAUAUGCCUCAAGUCAACGGCCUGGCAUAGACCAACCAAGAAAGUGGUAGACAUGAGCUUCAAUAUGUCAACAGCUUCAGCUGUUUUUCUUGAAGAAAUCAAGCCCAGGGAGUUGACAUCUUGGUUGUGUUGCUCAGCACUCUGAACAUGAUUGGUGACAGGAUUGGCAAGGAAUUGGAGCUCCGAGCAGUAAGAUGCCAUGGCAAUUUCGGCACCUUUGAACCCGUAAUCCAAGCUUGGAUUGCGGCCACCAGUGAGGUUUGAAGGCAAUCCAUUGUUGUAAAAGUCGUUAACAAGUUCAGAGAAUUGUGCGAACAUGAGUUUGCCAAUUGAUGCAAUGGCCAAACGAGUGUUGUCCAUUGAAACACCAAUAGGGGUCCCCUGGAAAUUCCCUCCUUGUAGAGCCUUACUCCUCGACACGUCAAUCAAAGGAUUGUCAUUGACAGAGUUGAUUUCUCGUUCGAUCAUUUUCGUAGAUGUUCUAAUCACUUCGAUCAGAGGGCCUAGCCAUUGUGGAGAUGUUCGAAGAGCAUACCGGUCUUGUUUAGGUUUUUGUAGAGGAUCGAUCUCAUGUAACUUCUGAGCUUCUUUAACAUAGGCGCUGCCAUCUAAAAUAUGUUCCAUGAUGGCGGCAGCUUCAAUUUGGCCAGGAUGAUGCUUCAAUUUAUGUGUCAGGUGAUCAGUAAACUCAGGUUUU
rnacentral:lncRNA from 1 species